rnacentral:lncRNA from 1 species
GAGGCCGAUUUUUAGGUUGUUCUUUCCUCCUCGAUGGCGCUGGUCGUGGUAGGGUCCUCGGGCGAUUCUCCCUACCUUUAGGCUGACGUUGGAUGGAUCUGUCGACCACUGUUGUCGGAGGAGGGGGAGGGGCCUGGAAAACUGAGGGUGAGGCCGGAGCUUGAGAUCUGGCUGCGGAGGCCGUGGAUCGCCUGAUGGAUGCUUUGCAGGGAGGCAUCGGGUGAAGAUCUAGUAGAGGAAGGAGAAGAGGAUGUCGGAGAAGAUGAUCGG